rnacentral:lncRNA from 1 species
UUUUUCUUGCUUUUUCUUAAAUCUUUUUGUUUGCACUUUUUUUUAUUUCUUCUUUAUAAUUUUAAAACCUCAAACUUCUUUUUUUGUGCACAUUCUUUUAUUUUUAUUUUUAUUUUUAUUUUUCAUCUUUCAUAUUUUAUAUCUUUUUCCUUUAUUUGUUGUAUAUAUUUUUUGUUUUUCUUUGUACGUUCUAAACUAAAAGUUUUUUUUUCCAUUUGUUUUGAUUUUUAUUCAUUUUGUCUUUUUAUAUUUUUGAUUCGUAAAUUUUUUAUUUUCUUGCUUGUUACUUUUUGUUUUGUUUAUUUUUAUUUUUUCCUUUUUUGGUAUUUUAUUUAAUUUUUCUUUUAUAUUAAUAUUUUCUCUUAAUUUAUUUUUUCAUUUUUUUUAUUUAUAAUUUAAAAAAUUUUAUAAAGUUUAAAAUUUUUUAUUUUUUCAUUUUCUUAUUUUUUGUCUAUUUUUUUUGCUACUUUUUGUUCUAUUUUAUAAAUUUUCAAUAACUUUUUCCCUUCAAAAUUUUCUUUCUUUUUGCCUUUUUUUCAUAUGCUUUCAUUUUUAUUUGUUUUAAUUCUUUCAAUGUUUUAAAAUUAUUUAUAUUUCUUUACGCUUUUUCCAUUUUUUUUUCACAAAUUUCCCUUCACUUCUUAUUUCGUUUUUUAAAUUCUCAUAAUUUUUUUUUUUUGCAUUUUCUCCUUUGGUUUCAUUUUUACUUUGAAUUAACUUUUCUCUUUUUUAAUUUUUUGCCUUUGACUUUUUAUAUUAUUUUCUCAUUAUGUCUUAUAUGUUUUUCAAUUUUUUGUAUUUUUUGAACUAUUUUUUUUUCAUUUUGUCAUUCCAUUUCAUUUUUGAAGUUUUUAUUCAAUUUUUGUCUUUUUAUUUUCUUACUUUUUAUAUUUUUAUUUUUAUUUUUUUUAUUUUAUCAUUGUUGGUUCUUUUCUAUUGCAUUUUUAUAAUUUUUCUUCAACUUUUUCUCCUUUCAAAUUUUUCUUCUUUUUUUUACUUAUUUUUUCAUGUGCUUUCAUAUUUUUUUGUUUUCACUUUUUUCUUUGUUUCAAAAUAUUCUAUAAACUUUUUUCUUUUUGUUUUAUCUCAUAAUUUUGACUCUUCAUUUUUUUAUUUUUUUCUUGUUUUAACUUUUUUUUGCCCUUCCUUGUCUUAUUUUAUUUUGUAUUAAAUUUUUCCCUUCGUUAAUUUUUUUUGAUUAUAUUUUUUUAAUUACUUUUUUCUAUGUUAUGUAAAUUAAAAUAUAAUUUGUAAUCCAUUUCAUUUUUAAUAAAUUUUCAAUCUUGAUUUUUAGCAAAUUAUUUCUAUUGUUUGUUUAUUUUUAAAGAAUACUUUUUUAUAUUUAUAAUAUACUAAUUUUUCAAUUUUUAUAUGGCUAAAAUUUUUUUUGACCAUAUCCUUAAUUUUAAUCAAAAAAAGUUUUUUCAUUUUUUAAUCUUUUUCUUUUUGCUUUAAUAUUUUCUCUUAUUUUAUUUUUCCUCUUACUUUGUUUUUUAUAAAUAAAUUUAUAAAUGUUAUAGAUAUUAAAACAUUGCUCAAUGAGACUUUGACUUUAUUAGAAAUGGAAGGUGUUAUGUGCAUGUAUGCUAAUUAAGAUAUCUAGUUAAGAUCAUCUGUAAUUUAUCUUGAAAUUUGUUUUUAUUUAUCGUGUAAUUUUAUCUAAUUAACAAAAUUCUCUUGUAUAAUAUUUUAUCUUUCAUUUGUUAUUAAUUUUUUUUUUCUAAUUUUUUUCUUUUGACUCAUUAUUUUUUCAUUUCCUUACUUUUUUUAUUUUUUCUAUUUUGUGCUUUUGUUUAUUUUAUUUUUUUUCUCUUUUUAGUACUUAUUUUUUUUCCUUUCUCCUUUAAAUUUUCUCUUAUUUUAUUUUCCUUUUAUUUUUUUCUUUUUUUUUAUAAAAAUUUUAUAAUGUUAUAGAUAUUAAAACAUUGUUGAAUGAGACUUUGGCUUCAUUAGAAAUGGAAGGAGUUAUGUGCAUGUAUACUAAUUAGAUAUCUAAUUAAGAUCAUCUUGUAUUUUAUCUUGAAAUUUGUUUUUAUUUGUCGUGUAAUUUAUCUAAUUAACAAAAUUAUCUUGUAUAAUAUUUUAUCUUUUAUUUAAUUCAAUUUGGAUUAUUUUUUUACUACUUAUUAUUUUAUUUAUUAUUUUGGAUUGUGUAAUAUUUAUCUUUUAUUUAAUACAAUUUGUUAAGAGAUAAUAAUUAUCUUUGUUAUUUCUUUUGGAAUUUUAUUGGCUUAUAUAUAAUAACACUAGUUUGGAAUUGUUAUAUCUAUCACUAUUUACUUCAUGUAUCCAAAUUUUUACAUUUUUAACGAUUUAAAAAUUAAAAGUUCUAAAUUUAAAUCAAUAAAUUCAAAUCAAAAUAUUUUGCAUCUAAACUUUCGAAUUCAAAUUAAGUUUUAAACAUAAAUUAAAGAUUGAACUUUUGUAGAAUUUUUUUUAUUUCUUUAUUUACUUCCUUUUUCUUUUCCUUUUUUUUGACUUUUUUUGUUUUUUUUUUUACUUUUUAUGCAUUUUCUUAAUUUUUCAUUCCUUUUUUUUUUCUUUUUACAUAAUACUUUCUUUCUUGUUUUCUUUCUAUUACUUAUUUUCCUUUUACUUUGAUUUUCUUUUUUGUUACUUCAAUCUAAUUGGUCAUUUACAUUAUUUUCUAUUAAUGUUUUUCUUUUUGCACUCUCUUUACUUUCUAUCUUUGUUUUUCUCAUUUUUUAUUUUUUCUUAACGUUUUUCUUCUUUUUUUGGGGUUUUCUUGGCUUUUUUUUCUCAUUUGUGAUUUUUGUUCCACACUUCCUUCUUUUGUUUUUAUUUUUUCUUUUUGUAUUAACUUUUCCCUUCUUUUAAUUUUUUCUUUUUGAUUUUUUAAAUCUUUUUUUCUCAUUAUUUGUUAUUUUUUUAUAUUUUAUAAACUAAACUUUUCUCUAUUUUGUCAUUUUUUCCAUUUUUAAUAUUUUCUAUUUUUUUAAUUUUUUCUUUUGACUCGUUAUUUUUUCAUUUCCUUACUUUUUUUUGUUUUUUUUUUUGUUUUUAGUACUUAUUUUAUCAUUUUCCUUUUAUUUUUUAUUUUUAACUUUUGUUAUUUUUAUAAAACUUUUGUAAUGUUAUGGAUUUUUACUUCAUUUUUUAAUCUAUUGUUCUUUUGGUUUUUCUCAUUUUUUUCAUUUUUUAUUUUUUGCUAUUUUUAUUCUAUUUUUAUAAUUUUUCAUUAAUCCUUUUUUUUUCUUUUUCUUUUAACUUAUUUGUUGAUUUACUUUCUUUUUUUUUUUCUUUCUAUUAAAAUUCUCUAUUUUUUUCUUGCUUUUUCUUAUAUCUUUUUGUUCACACUUUUUUUAUUUCUUCUUUACAAUUUUAAAACCUCAAACUUCUUUUUUUGUGCACUUCCUUUUGUUUUUAUUUAUAUUUUUUAUUAACUUUUAUUUUAUUUUUUUCUUUAAACUAAAAGUUUUUUCUAUUUUAUAUUUCAAAUUUUUAUUCAUUUUGUCUUUUUAUAUUUUUUUU